rnacentral:siRNA from 1 species
ACUGUGGUGAUCCUUGCGCUAGAC